AUACGUAGGUGACAAGCGUUAUCCGGAUUUACUGGGCGCAAAGGGCGCGUAGGCGGUCUUGCAAGUCAGAAGUGAAAUUCCUGAGCUCAACUCGGGCGCUGCUUCUGAAACUGCAGGACUUGAGUGCUGGAGGGGAUAGCGGAAUUCCUAGUGGAGCGGUAAGAUGCGCAGAUAUUAGGAAGAACACCGGUGGCGAAGGCGGCUAUCUGGACAGUAACUGACGCUGAGGCGCGAAAGUGUGGGGAGCAAACAGGAUUAGAUACCCUGGUAGUCCACACGGUAAACGAUGAAUGCUAGGUGUAGGGGGUAUCGACCCCUUCUGUGCCGCAGUCAACACAAUAAGCAUUCCGCCUGGGGAGUACGGCCGCAAGGUUGAAACUCAAAGGAAUUGACGGGG
rnacentral:rRNA from 1 species